rnacentral:rRNA from 1 species
AGCGAACGCUGGCGGCAGGCCUAACACAUGCAAGUCGAACGGAUCCUUCGGGAUUAGUGGCGGACGGGUGAGUAACACGUGGGAACGUGCCCUUUGGUUCGGAACAACUCAGGGAAACUUGAGCUAAUACCGGAUGUGCCCUUCGGGGGAAAGAUUUAUCGCCAUUGGAGCGGCCCGCGUCUGAUUAGCUAGUUGGUGAGGUAAAGCUCACCAAGGCGACGAUCAGUAGCUGGUCUGAGAGGAUGAUCAGCCACAUUGGGACUGAGACACGGCCCAAACUCCUACGGGGAGGCAGCAGUGGGGAAUCUUGCGCAAUGGGCGAAAGCCUGACGCAGCCAUGCCGCGUGAAUGAUGAAGGUCUUAGGAUUGUAAAAUUCUUUCACCGGGGGGACGAUAAUGACGGU